rnacentral:rRNA from 1 species
CCUACGGGUGGCAGCAGUGAGGAAUAUUGGUCAAUGGACGAGAGUCUGAACCAGCCAAGUAGCGUGAAGGAUGACUGCCCUAUGGGUUGUAAACUUCUUUUAUAUGGGAAUAAAAUGUUCCACGUGUGGGAUUUUGUAUGUACCAUAUGAAUAAGGAUCGGCUAACUCCGUGCCAGCAGCCGCGGUAAUACGGAGGAUCCGAGCUGUAUCCGGAUUGAUUGGGUUUAAAGGGAGCGUAGGUUGAUUGUUAAGUGAGUUGUGAAAGUUUGCGGCUCAACCGGAGAAUUGAAUGUGAAACGGGAAGUCUUGAGUACUGUAGGUGUGGGCGGAAUUCGUGGUGU